ACCAUAAGCUCUGCAUCUCUGGGUCUUCAUUUCCAAAGCAGCACUUGGAAAACCAAGCCCAGUUCAGGCAAAGAGUUCCUUUCUUCUCACCAGCACUUGAAAUGGUCCAGAAUAUACCUGAUGCUCACACCACCUUCCUCAUCCACUUCUGAAAUGAAAAGGUCAUUCCCCGAUGGUUGCUAUAUCUUUUCCAAGAGGAACUUCCCCUUUCUUAAAAUUCUGAAAAAUUCCUUUCCAUUUCAUACACUGAACCUGACUUCAUUUCUUAAUAAAUAUUUUUAUCAUCUCUAUCAUCCAGAAUUUCUUCUUUCUCCAUCCAUAUUUAUCUUUUACUUCAAGACACUUACUUUCCUAUUCCCUUUCAAAACUCCUUCUUGUUUCAAAAUGGAUUCCCAAUGGCUCUAGCUACUCCUGUUUCUACCUUGCUCGACUUGACCUUCCCCUGUGUCUUUCCUGUGCAUUCUCCAUUGCCCCUUUUUAUGUAGCCUCCUUUCUAGCCCUGACCUUCCUCCCUAUUCAGUCAUAUGCACAUUCACGUAUCCUUUUUUUUCACCCCACUUGCACACAGUCCUCUUCUUUAUACAGUCUUAUAUACUUGCAAGUGAUCUUUCCACAACAUUAAAACCACAUUUUGCUCCUCAGGCACCUCUUUGCACUCUAGAUCUUUUCUGAUCAUAUGUGUCUGGAUAGCACAUCAAGUUUCAGACCUGGCUAUCAGCACAUUAGCCAGCAAGAAUAUAAGUUUAGAUCUGACAAUCCCAAAACACAAUCUGCACAUAAAAUAAUUCACAUAUAUCAUGAAGAAGAUAACUUACUGCAAAGGUAAUAAGGCCCCACAGUUUCUGAUCAUUUUUUUUCUAUCUCCUUUUCCAAAUAAGUCCUAGCUUCAUUCUUCUAAUUCAAAUUUGAACUACUUUCAAAUUCUACAUACUAGGCCCUCACCAUGUAUUCUGUUGGGUUGCAUGGAUUUGUGCUACUAAACUCUAAAGGCAUGACUAAGCUAGAAACUAAACCUGUGUCUGUAAUACAAAGUUCUCAGUGCCAGAAGUUGAA
rnacentral:lncRNA from 1 species